rnacentral:rRNA from 1 species
UACGUAGGGUCCGAGCGUUGUCCGGAUUUAUUGGGCGUAAAGAGCUCGUAGGCGGUCUGUCGCGUCUGCUGUGAAAACUCAGGGCUUAACCCUGAGCUUGCAGUGGGUACGGGCAGACUAGAGUGCGGUAGGGGAGACUGGAAUUCCUGGUGUAGCGGUGAAAUGCGCAGAUAUCAGGAGGAACACCGGUGGCGAAGGCGGGUCUCUGGGCCGUAACUGACGCUGAGGAGCGAAAGCAUGGGGAGCGAACAGG